rnacentral:pre_miRNA from 10 species
ACCCAAACCCAGGCCGGCUGACUCUUAGUCCAGUGCUCGUGAAGGCUGCUGGGCCCUGAACUGAGGGUCUGGAGGCCUGGGCUUGACUGUCAACAG